rnacentral:rRNA from 1 species
UCCCAGUUCGGAUCGCAGGCUGCAACCCGCCUGCGUGAAGUUGGAAUCGCUAGUAAUCGCGGAUCAGCAUGCCGCGGUGAAUACGUUCCCGGGCCUUGUACACACCGCCCGUCACACCAUGAGAGUCGGGAACACCCGAAGUCCGUAGCCUAACCGCAAGGGGGGCGCGGCCGAAGGUGGGUUCGAUAAUUGGGGUGAAGUCGUAACAAGGUAGC